rnacentral:rRNA from 1 species
GACAGAGGGGGCAAGCGUUGUCCGGACUGACUGGGCGUAAAGCGUCCGCAGGCGGCGCGGCAAGUGUGGUGUGAAAGCGCCCGGCUUAACCGGGCGAGGCCACCGCAGACUGCCGUGCUCGAGGGGUGCAGAGGCGGGUGGAAUUGCCGGUGUAGUGGUGAAAUGCGUAGAGAUCCGGAGGAACCCCAGAGGCGAAGGCGGCCACCUGGUUCAGCACUGACGCUCAGACACGACAGCAUGGGGAGCAAACGGG